rnacentral:rRNA from 1 species
GAUGAACGCUGGCGGCGUGCCUAAUACAUGCAAGUCGAGCGAACGGACGAGAAGCUUGCUUCUCUGAUGUUAGCGGCGGACGGGUGAGUAACACGUGGAUAACCUACCUAUAAGACUGGGAUAACUUCGGGAAACCGGAGCUAAUACCGGAUAAUAUUUUGAACCGCAUGGUUCAAAAGUGAAAGACGGUCUUACUGUCACUUAUAGAUGGAUCCGCGCUGCAUUAGCUAGUUGGUAAGGUAACGGCUUACCAAGGCAACGAUGCAUAGCCGACCUGAGAGGGUGAUCGGCCACACUGGAACUGAGACACGGUCCAGACUCCUACGGGAGGCAGCAGUAGGGAAUCUUCCGCAAUGGGCGAAAGCCUGACGGAGCAACGCCGCGUGAGUGAUGAAGGUCUUCGGAUCGUAAAACUCUGUUAUUAGGGAAGAACAUAUGUGUAAGUAACUGUGCACAUCUUGACGGUACCUAAUCAGAAAGCCACGGCUAACUACGUGCCAGCAGCCGCGGUAAUACGUAGGUGGCAAGCGUUAUCCGGAAUUAUUGGGGCGUAAAGCGCGCGUAGGCGGUUUUUUAAGUCUGAUGUGAAAGCCCACGGCUCAACCGUGGAGGGUCAUUGGAAACUGGAAAACUUGAGUGCAGAAGAGGAAAGUGGAAUUCCAUGUGUAGCGGUGAAAUGCGCAGAGAUAUGGAGGAACACCAGUGGCGAAGGCGACUUUCUGGUCUGUAACUGACGCUGAUGUGCGAAAGCGUGGGGAUCAAACAGGAUUAGAUACCCUGGUAGUCCACGCCGUAAACGAUGAGUGCUAAGUGUUAGGGGGUUUCCGCCCCUUAGUGCUGCAGCUAACGCAUUAAGCACUCCGCCUGGGGAGUACGACCGCAAGGUUGAAACUCAAAGGAAUUGACGGGGACCCGCACAAGCGGUGGAGCAUGUGGUUUAAUUCGAAGCAACGCGAAGAACCUUACCAAAUCCUGACAUCCUUUGACAACUCUAGAGAUAGAGCCUUCCCCUUCGGGGGACAAAGUGACAGGUGGUGCAUGGUUGUCGUCAGCUCGUGUCGUGAGAUGUUGGGUUAAGUCCCGCAACGAGCGCAACCCUUAAGCUUAGUUGCCAUCAUUAAGUUGGGCACUCUAAGUUGACUGCCGGUGACAAACCGGAGGAAGGUGGGGAUGACGUCAAAUCAUCAUGCCCCUUAUGAUUUGGGCUACACACGUGCUACAAUGGACAAUACAAAGGGCAGCGAAACCGCGAGGUCAAGCAAAUCCCAUAAAGUUGUUCUCAGUUCGGAUUGUAGUCUGCAACUCGACUACAUGAAGCUGGAAUCGCUAGUAAUCGUAGAUCAGCAUGCUACGGUGAAUACGUUCCCGGGUCU